ACAGUCCUUUCUGAUCUGUUUCACAGGAACUAAAGCCUUUGACCCACUGCUGGCUGUUCGUCUGCUUCUCUUCACUCUGCACACUGUUCUCAUCGUCAUAGUAACGGCCAUCAUCAUCAAAAGGAUGUGCGUUCGCAAAAAAAAGAUGAUGGUGUAGCCUCCAGACGCCGUAGAGGAGCUGAGACGUCCAGAGGAACGAGGCCGGGCUGUCUGAUAUUAUCAUCUGUAACAUAUCUGCUCUAAUAUUACAUCACUGGACCUUUAUCUCUGAUAUUAUCAUCUGUAACAUAUCUGCUCUAAUAUUACA